rnacentral:lncRNA from 1 species
CAGUAUUAUCCUUUAUCGAGUAGGUGCAUAACCCUUCUUUCCCAAUUUAGUCAGCACUUGGAUGGCUCUCAACAUCUUCCACUUUAUUCUUGUUAACUGAUAGUGAGAGUAGAGUGAUCGAUGGGGUCCUGCAAGAUCCGUGUCCUGGUCGGCUGGUCUACGCACAUCCUCGGGUGAGGCGAAGCUCUGUCCUGGGGGUCCCGUUAUGUCCGAUCCUUAGCGCCCGGGGUCGGGCGAAGUGUAGCCCUGCUGCGAGGGGUCGGGCGCAUCCGACCCUGUGACCCGGGGUCAGGCCAAGUUUGAUAGAUCCAAGGAGUUGAAAACUCCUGAGCGGCUACAACACAAAUUUUCACACAACUU